rnacentral:lncRNA from 1 species
AGAGACCCUAACUGGCUUAGGUUUUUAAGAAAGGAUAAAGGCUGAACAGAUCUCUGCAGUUACAAUUAUUCAUACUAGAAGAUACUGCUAACCUCUUUGUUAUUUGAGCAGCUGGAUGAGAUUCCUGAUUUCCAUAAUCUGUACCUGGAGGUUUAUACAGGAGAGGAUCACUGGGGCAGACUUGAACCAUGGUGCCCACAAGUGGGGAGGGUGCUCCAGCGGCCAUGGAAAGAACUUCCUUCUGCAGUUGGAGACAGCCUUCUGUGUGGGCUGAAGGACAGAGUGUGAUUUUCUACUUGGAAGAGACUCCAGGGCUCUGCAGAGAGGGAAGCCCUGCUGACCCAUUUCAGCAGACUGUGACACUUCAGCGACCUGCAAAUUCUACACAUUAGAGUUCAUAUUUUAUACAAACUCCGUACACCUAAGAUGUGGACUUAACAUUUCUACCAACAACAUCCAACUUCCAACAAAAGAUGCAGGCCCAUCAGAAGAUGAAAGCUACUAAUGAAGAUGCAUUAAAGAUGAUAUUUAUGGCCACCCCUUAGGGAAAAAAAGAUUCAUAAAUAAUUUCAUGGAAAUUACACCCAAAAUAGAGUCAUAAUUUCCUCAAUUUCACGUUUUCCUUUUGGUUCUCUGCAGGCCACUUCUUGUUUCAUGCGUCACCACAACUCCAUUUUAAAGGGGUGAGGUAGGAGAGGGGAGAGGUUGUAUGUUAACUGGCCUGGGAACGGCUAAGUAAUGAAAACGGCUCGGCACCUGUGAUUGAUAGUGUUCUGUCAAAGCACGGAACUUCUCUUCUUUGCUUGUGACUGACUGGCAGGUGACGUGUACUUCUCUGUGGCCCACGGCUCCUCUGGCAGAGGUGGCCUUACGUGGCUCCUCUGGCAGAGGCAGCCUUAGAGAAGGCCACUUGAGCAGGGGGAACAGUUGGUAAUCAGAGGUAAAGUUGAGGAAGGCCAAGUGGGCAGGCCUGAUCAGAAACGCUUUCAGGGUAUUGUGGCAAUCAUCUCUCUUCUGCAGCCGAGCUGGGAAUUAGAGUCUUUCUUCAGCCGGGAGUGGGAGAAAGGGAAUUUUUACUAGAGGGCAUGGCCUUCUGAGGCAGGGGAAGAAAGCAUCUUCUGCCAGCUGGGGCAGGGAACGGAGGUGAGUCAGAAAGGCUUGUGGAGAGUGGUAUUCCCCACUGGGGGUCACAGGGCCACUUGUGAAAUGACGCCUAGAUGUUGGUCUACAGCCAAGGUUCUCAACCUUGGCUGCGUAUCAGAAUCACCUGGGGAGCUCUUACAAUCCUGAUGUCCAGGCCCCACCUCAGCCAGAUUACAUCAGAAUCUCUGGGGUGGGACCCAGGCUGAGGUAGUUGUUAAGGCUCCCCGGGUAAUUCCACUGUCUAUCCCGUCUUGAGACCCAUUGAUCUAGGACCUUACUAAUCAAAGCGUUGUAUGAAGACCAGCAGCAUCGUAUCACCUGGGACUUGUGAGAAUUGUUAGACACGUAGAAUCUCAGGCCCCACCCCAGCAUCUCCAGUUUAAAAAUCCCCAGGAGAUUUGGACUCUAUUAAAGUGUGCGUAGCUGGGGUUUUCAAACUUGACUGCACAUUAAAAUCAUCUGGAGAGCUUUUAAAAAUCCCAAUGCUCAGGCCACACCUCAUACCAAUUAAAUCCGAAUUUCUGAGGGUGGGAGACAAGCAGCUUUUUAAUAGGUUUUCAGGUGAUUCCAACGUGCAUGAGUUCUCAGCCGUGGAUACAUAUUAGAAUCACCUGGGGAGCUUUUAAAUCUCCCAAUGCCCAAACCCUACUCUCAGAAAUUCUGAUUUAAUUGGUCUAGGAUAGGCGGCAAAACGAUUCCUAGGUGAUUGUAAUAUGCAGCCAGUGGAGCCUCCCUUCCAGAAUGUUGGUUCAGCUUCACUGAAGGUACAACCAGCUUAAAAACCCUCACUGCAAGUCAGUGGAUCCAGUAACAGUUGGAGAAAAAGAAUGAGCAGGCCAUGGCUAGACUUAGUUUCCAGGGCUUUGAUAUUUGAUCUCCUUACAUGUGAUAACUACGAUUCUUUUUUUUUUUUUUUAUGAAUUCAGAUAUUUAUAUGCUCCUCUAGUUUUCUAAUAAAGUUCCUUUUGAAAAAUUCAACCUCAAUGCAGCUGAGUUAAGAGAUAAAAGCACUGGCCUACACCUGGGGCCACAGGAUCUCUGAGCAGCUAAGGGGUCAGGUGGGAUGGAGGCAAGAGAGGUUAUGGUGGAGAAUUUGGGUGCACCGGGACCCAGAGAAAGACCCCGAGGGAUAAGCAAAAGGUGAGCUGAUUGCAAUUUUCUUGUUCUAUUUACUCUGUGAUACUGUCAUCAUUUCUAACAUGACUGUGGAGUCGAGUAGUUAUAGAAUUGCUGGAUUUAGCAAAUAAAAACCCAUAGCACCCAGUUACAUUCAAAUUUCAGGUAAAUAAUUUUUAGCAUAAGUAUGACUCAUGUAAUAUUUGAGACGUACUUAUUCUAGAAAAAUUAUUUGUUUAUCUGAAAUUCAGUUUUAUCCUGGUAUCCUGUAUUUUAUCUGACAACCCUCUUCCAUACACAACCCUAAAUUCUCAGUGUUAAAAAAUCUGCCCUGUGAGUGGGGCUUUCUCCAGGCCUUGAGCUGGCUCUUGCCGUCUUGGGGUGAUGUUAUGUCUAUGGGUGAUUGUUAGAGUCCUGUUCCCAGGUAGAACAGGGAACAGGAUUCUAACAGGAUUUUUUUUUUUUUGAAACGGAGUCUCGCUCUGUCGCCCAGGCUGGAGUGUACUGUUGUGAUCUUGGCUCACUGCAACUUCUGCCUCCUGAGUUCAAGUGAUUCUCUUGCCUAAGCCUCCCGAGUAGCUAGGAUUACAGGUGCCUGCCACCACGCCUGACUAAUUUUUUGUAUUUUUAGUAGAGACGGGGUUUUGCCAUGUUGGCCAGGCUGGUCUUGAACUCCUGACCUCAGGUGAUCUGCCUGCCUUGGCUUCCCAAAGUGCUGGGAUUACAGGUGUGAGCCACCGUGCCCUGCUGAGAACAGGAUUCUAAUAGCUACCCAUGGACUUCACCUGUGUUCUACAGGUGUUGCUCAGGGUCCCCAAACUAGCCCCAGUGUGUGUGCACGUGUGUGACUCCGUGCCUAUGGACAAUGUCCUUGAACUUCACUCUGCCGGGCUCACCUGCAGUCCUUGGUGAUGAGGUGGUUUCUGGGAGUUCCUCUAGAAUACCCUCCUCUCCUGUUGUUGCUUGCCGAGUUUAGGCUGUAUAUGUCCAAGAGAAAGGAGGCUGGCACUACCCUGGGAUGCCGGGGAAUUUAGGCUGUAUAUGCCCAAGAGAAAGGAGGCUGGGCACUACCCUGGGAUGGGUAGUUUUUUCAGAGAAGAUGAAUCAUCUGCAUACUUUCUUCAGAGGGAAUUGGGCUGGAGGCAACGUGUUGAGCUGCUGGUGAAUCAGACAAAUGUAGAGAAAAGGCGGUGGAAAGGAAAGCACGGUUCACAAGUUGCAACCAUUGCAUCUCCCUGAAGCGGCUGUUCAGUGUCUGAGCCCGGCUUUCAGCAGAGGCUGCUCCAUUGAAAUACAUUCAGAGUCAAAAGUGCAGUUUCCCGUUCUGUUCAACUCAGAACAGCUCAUUCCCUGCUGGCUUGUGAAAGGAAAAUAUCUUGGGCCCCCAGAAUCACUGAGGAAAACUCAAGCUGGAAACUGCUUAGGGCAAACCUGCCUCCCAUUCUAUUCAAAGUCACUCCUCUGCUCACUGAGAUAGAUGCAUAUCUGAUUUGCCUACUUUGGAAAGGCUAAUCAGAAACUCAAAAGAAUGUAACCAUUUGUGUAUCACCUAUCUGUGACCUGGAAGAGUCUUCCAGCCUUUGCUUCUAGUUGUCCCGCCUUUCCAGACCAAACCAAUGUACUUCUUACAUAUGUCGAUUGCUGUCUCAUGCCUCCCUAAAAUGUAUAAAACCCGGCUGUGCCCUGAUCACCUUGGGCACAUGUCGUCAGGACUUCUGAGGCUGUGUCACAGGCGCGUCCUCAACCUUGGCAAAAUAAACUUUCUAAAUUAACUGAGACCUGUCUCAGAUUUUCUGGGUUCACAGGCUUCAGAGUGUGAAGGGGCUUGGAGAAAGGGAGGCAGAGAGUGGGGAAGAGCCAGCUGCCAGCAAGAGAUGCACAGCUGCAGCCAGAGAGAAGUGCAAGAUGAGAGAAGGAGGGAGGGAGAGGUCACCACUGCUGGUUACUUAGCUGGGGAUGUGCAGCCAGACGCAGGAUGAUCAGGAAGGGUACCCUUGGCUUGUCCCUCCAGCCUAUCCUUCUAAAGGUCUAAGCUGGUGCUUGUGUGUCCUGAAGCAGUAUCCGAACCAAUUAGCCUUAAGAAAAGCUCAGGAGGGCACGUGAAGGCUGGAAAAUGGGCUGGGCCAGGUUCUGGAGCCAUGGCCAAUUUUCUCUGGAUGUUCUAGAGGGUGAGUGACCCCUUCGUGAGGCUCCUCUGCUGGUCAGGCCCCGCAGGCAUGGUGAGGCUUGGGAGAGCUGGCAGGCCUCCCAGGGGAGCUCUCACUUAGAAUAUCUACUGUUGGAAGUCCUCCCCACUUCCCUCCUGACACUACCGUCUUCCCAGAAUAAUACAGUGCUGCCGUUUAAAUGAAGGUCACAGACUUGGUUUUUGUGUUCCUUCUGGGAUUCUAGCUCGGGAAAUCCAGGCUCUUCUGUCUCCUUCUCUGUUUUCUGUCUUCCCGUGCCUCCUUCCUGAUGGUCUUUCCAGAACAUCUUCUCCCACAGGCAGCCUAGAUGUGGUGUGGGAGGGCUCUCCAGAGAACGUCGGUAUCUGGUGGUUAAUUAAAAUGAUAAAUGGGCCUUUUGCCUCUCUGGCCACUUCAUUUAGGUCAGGAACAGUGAGAGGCUCUGUGGAAGAUUGGGAGAGAAGCCAGGUGAAGGCAGGGACAGCUCCAGGACAGGACAGGCCUCCUCGACUCUUAUUUGCAGGGUCCCCUAGUCCAAGAGGGUUGGUUCUCAUGCAGAUUUUGCUUAGGGCUGGGGCAUCUGAGUGAGAGAUGGGUCUCCAGGUGAGGCAUCCUGACUGGUAAUGGGUCUGGGCCUUGCUGACUCUUUGGGGUUUAGCUUGUAGGUUCUCAGCCAGGGCCCAGACCUCCAUGCCUUUUCUCCAGGACCACAAUGCUCUUUUCCAGAAGGCUGGGCGGCCUCACUGGUGAAAAAGAGCUGACUUGGGCCUCCAGGCCAGCAGUUCACUCUGGAACCUAAUCCAGAGUCACAGCCUAUUGGCAAAGUCAAUGUGCUGUGGACUGUCAUACAGACAAUGUGUUAGGCCCUGUGAGUCAUGGAAGAUGGGCUUGGGUGACCCCUGGGGUCAGGCUCACUUCCUUAUCCCAGCUCUAGGAAAGAACAGCUUGUCCUGUGGGAUUCCUCCAGGCCGGCACAUAUACCGCAGUUGGGGCUGGGCUGGCAUGAGCCCCUUUGGCCAGAUCUUGGCUGGCUCUCAUAUGUUUACCUCUAACCAGGCCCAAGCUUGGCCUGAGGGCCCUGAGUCUCUGCCUGGUGGAGACAUUCAUGUGGACAGAGCCAGCACCCAGGAGAGACUGAUAGGUGAAUCCUGACAGGAUUGUGAUGUAUGCAUUACUUCCCGUGAAGCUGAGGGGUCUGAAUACCCAACUAGUGUGUGUUUAGGGGGUCGAGAAGUGGGAGCUCAGAGCUGGGGGUGUGGCUGGAAUGACUGGGAAAGGAGAGAGGGUCCAGUUCUCGUUAAGUCCCUGCUCUUCAUCAUCAUUUCCUGGCUCCUUUCCUCUUACCUGGCAUUUCUCAAGUUCUGGGGCAAGGUCUAAAUUGGGCACUUGGAUGAGACUUUCCCAGGGAGCUGCCAGCCUUCCAGGUCCAGGGUGGUCACAGGACCCGCUGGCUCCACAUCUCCUCCUCUCAGUUUGGCCCUCGCCCUAAUCCCUGCUGGUGUCUGAUGCCAGUAACUUGCUGCCUGCUGAAGUCCUUUCUCAUUGUGCCAGUUCCAGGCGCUAUCUGGAGCUGCCGAGGUGGAUCUGCGUGUGUGUGUGUGUGUGUGUGUGUGUGUGUGUGUGUGUGUGUGUGUGUCUCUACAUGUCCUCCUUGGACAUUUUACUAAAUGUUUAUUGGCCCCAAGUGAGGCACAAAUUCCACAGUCAUUUCCAAACCUGAACUUAGUGGUUGGAGAAAGUGCUGAGCACAGUUUAUUAAAUGUGUGCCAUCCUCUCCACCGUUCAGAGCCUAGUGUGUGCUGCCUUUCCUUUGAGAAGUCUUCUCUUGGGACCUCAGCCCUGUUGUCCCCUGCCCUCUCUAGGCUCCUGUGGUCCAGAGAGUGUGCUUGCACAACCCGGCUUGAGCUGUUGUCCCUUUGUGUCAUUUUUGAACAGUGAUAUGGUUUGGCUGUGUCCCCACCCAAAUCUCAUCUUGAAUUGUAGCUCCCAUUAUCCCCACAUGUUAUGGGAGGGACCCAGUGGGAGGUAAUUAAAUAAUGGGGGUGGUUACCCCCAUGCUGUUCUCAGGAUAAUGAGUUCUCACGAGAUCUGAUGGUUUUAUAAGGGGCUUUUCCCCCUUUGCUUUGGCACUUCUCCUUCCUGCCGCCAUGUGAAGGAGGACAUGUUUGCUUCCUCUUCUGCCAUGUUUGUAAGUUUCCUGAGGCCUCCCAGCCCAGUGGAACUGUGACUCAAUUAGACUUCUUCCUUUAUAAAUUACCCAGUCUUGGGCAGUUCUUUAUAACAGGAUGAGAACAGACUAAUACAGUUAGUCUCUUACCUUCCAGAGUGCAAGAACCAAGUCUUGUGAGUUGGCCUGACCCAGGUUCAAACUGUGCUUCUCACUUACAAGCUGAUGACUUUGAGCUAGUUAAUUUUUUUGAGACUCAGUUUCCUCAUCUGUACAAGGGGGAUAAUAAUGCUUUCCUCUCCAGAUCAUUGUGAGGAUUUACGAGCUUAUGCAAACUAAGCCCCUGGCACAGUGCCUAGCGUAGGGCAGGCACUUAAUAAAUCUGAGUUCCUGUUCUCUGCUCUUGUCUCCUCAUGGUUGUUGGAACAGGGCUGGGCUUGUGGUCGGCACCCAGAAAAGUAGUGGUGACUGAUUAAUGAUUAUGGAGCCUGCAAUUAUUGGGAUGAAGUCCCUAAACAGGGAAACAGCUCUAAGCAAACCCAUUAAUUAGGGGCCUGUUUGCAGUUCUUUUGUGCUGGCUUGUCAUGUGUUAGUUCAAGGAGGGCUUUGUACCCUCAGCCUCUAUCCACCCAGAGGUCAUUCUGGGAAAAUAAUGACCAAGGAGAGGCUCAGGCCUGAGGUGUGCAAUUGCCACCUACUUGUGACCUUCAUGCCCAUCCUCCCCUCCCCACUCUACUACUGGUGCAAUAAACAAGUUAACAGGUGACAAAAACAGCCCUCAUAAAGAAGGCCACUGGCUUUAGGAUAGCAUUAAGCCUGAGCUAAUGGACUUUUUGCUAGGAACCAGGGACUUCCUGAGGCAUAGGAGGACUCCUGACUUGGAGCGACCUCUCAGGCCAGGAGAGGCCAACCCAGGCUAGCUACUUUUUAUUUUUUACUUCCAAGUAUAUUUAAAAAAAGAAGAAUUGCCAAAAUAGAGUGUUACAUUACAAAAUUGUGUUAUAACUUACAUGUUUAUAUUUAUCAAGUUAACAAGUUUAAACCUCAAAUGCAAUAUGAAUGUUACUUCACAAUAAUUUCAAGGCUUUAAAAAAUAUUGUUGUGUACUGCAAGCAGGUGGUAAGAUAAACUAAUGGGAUAUAAGUCUAAAGGACCCUUCUGUCCUGGGUUACCCCUCACCCCACUCUAUGGGGGACGGUCCCACGGGGCAGCUUACAGCCCAGGGCUCUGGCCUCUGCCGGCCUCAGUGGUCGGUGGUCAUCUCAGAGUUGGGUGGGGGCCCUGGUGACAGAGACCUGGAGAUGAUUCAUCUCAUGGGGAAAUUUAGACCCAUUCACAAGCCAUAAUAUGCCUGUAAACAAGAGGUGGGUCUGGCUUUCUUCAGACGUUGUAUGGCUCUUGGCUGGUGAGCAUUUAUGCUGAGCCCAGCUCCAGUGGCCUGCAUGCAGUGGGUGCUGAGUAAAUACUCAAGUCACCAGCUGCAAGCACAGUCUGCAGUUCUUAUUCACUUAUUUGAUGACUACUGCUUUCCCUAUUAGAUGGAAUUAUGCCUGACUUUUCCCUUCUGUAUCCUAAGCAUAUAAUAAGUGUUCCAUGUAUAUAUUGAAAGAAAUGAAAUCAAAUUUUCUCUAAGAAGCACCCUGAAUCAGCCCUUUUCUCCUGGGCUUCUCUUCUCCAUUUCAGAGCAUAACAUUGUGUUGUGAUUAUAUUUAUUCCCUUGACUUUGUCCUGCACAGGCUCUGAGCAUCUAUUUGGUAUCCCAAGUACCCAGCAUAGUGACUUGCACAAAGCAGGCAUUGAUCAAAAUAUCUGCAACUUAACUGAAUGAGUGUGAGUUUGGCAUGUCCAGGCCAAUGGAGACAGCCUCCCUUCUAACCCCAGGCCCAGCAUGCUUGGAAGCUGUGUUUCUUGAUGAGUAUUUUCCUGUUUUCUAAAUCUCUGUCCCUAGAAGCCCAUGUUCUCCUCUUCCAGUGUUGGGGCACAUCUGGUUAUUGGUACACGUUGCUUAGUUAGAAACUCUUAAAACAGCAUGAAAUUGUUAGCACGUUGCUCAGGCCUGCCAAGCUGUUCUUGAGACUUGAGCUUUGGUAGGUUUGGUUUUCUGUUUGUUUUCUGUUUUCAUGCAGUUUAGAAAAUUGGUCUGUGACAACCUUGGAGGAAAUAAGCCUGCCUUGAACUCCACCAAGGGGGAGCAAGCCUGAGAUGGCGGGUGGCGGAGAAGGGAGAUAAGCUCGGCGGGGAGAGGCUCUGAGAUUCCCUGCCUGCAUUCCUUUCCUUGUAUUCUGGAUUGGUCUCUCAGGCUAAUUUGAUGUGUGGGGAGAAGGGGUGCCCAAAGGAGGAGGGGUGGAACUGGGGAGAGGCUUGUCUCUGCGUGGCUCCUCUCAGGAAGACCGGCAAGACCAGUACAGCACCUUUCGGUUCUAGAGGACAGAGACAUGCUCUCUCCAAAUAAAUGUCUGGGGAUGGAGACUGUGAAGGAAGAUGUCCCUUCCUCAUGCAUAUGAUUCCUCUGUUAUCUUUUGGGUAUGGGCAGUGUCAGAAGUGUCCCAUGUGGCUCCAACACACCAUCUCUUCUCCCUACUUUUGGCAGCACUUGUCUCUUGGCAGAUUUUUCUUUCUGGAAAUAAUUUCAUAUGGGGAAAAGGCUGGGCUGACCUAUUUCACUUUGGGUGGUAGUUGCUAUCCUUGAGGGUAGGCAGAGCCAGCUACCGCUGCUUCUGGAUGGUGAGACCGGGCAUGAGGAAGGGUGGGUUGAAGAGGUCUCUAGAACCCCCAGGCAGAACUUGGUUUGACUCCUGGCAGUGGAGAUGGGACUCAGGAAUUGUUCUUUGGUCGAAAUGUCAAUAGCAGCAUCACCUCUAACCCUUCCCCAGGCACCAUGCCUUGUCUUUGGUGCUGUCUGUUCCAUCUUUGAUGGCUAUUUAAAAAUCUUUUCUUUCACCCUUUUCCACAAAAGCACUGCCUCCAUUUCAGCCUUGAAUUUCUCCUCAGAGAGCGGUUCUCAGCUGUGCUGCUGGGUUCUGUGUCUUUAUGAGUGAGUCUGAGAUUUCUACCUUGCCCCCCAACCCCCUGCAUCUAAUGAAUCUCAAAGCACACCCUUGAGAACCCCAAGGAUGGGCAUUCUGCCUCCUUAUCGCCCCGGGGCACUGAGGUAAUUGCAUCAGUAGGCGUGUCAAUUCUCUAAGGGAACCCUUGUUUAUUUGGUAUCUACAAUGUGCCAGACACUGAGCACAUGACUUAGAUGGAAUGACUUGCUGAAAUCAUGGAGGCAGUAAGUGAUAUCCACAUGCAUGUCUGUCUGAUAGCCAAGCACCUUCUCAUUCCUCGUACCAGGGGUUCAUGAACUCAGAGGAUUAGAGUGCUUUGAUUCUCAGUCUUUGUCAUCUUGCCUGCAGCCCAGUACUUCUAGGCUCGCUUUCUUGGUGGUUCAUACCCCAACUCUAAGCCUGUAAGAAUAAUCGGCGUCAAGGUAAAGUUCCCUUUGUCACCAGCCCUUGGUAUUAGUUCGCUAUAUUAAAAUAGGUCUUUAAUUUAAAAAGCAGAGGAGGGAGAGAACUAAACAUUGAAAGAGUUUAUACAUUUCUAAUUGUGAAUGUUUGGCAAGGCUUAAAGGCAUAUGAUGGCUCCCAUUUCAACACAGACACUUCUCAGGAAUUCCUGCCAACGUUGUUCCCCAUCAGUCCUUAGUCCCUUCUCUGCCUCCUUCUCACCUGGAAACGGUUUGAGGCAAGUGUACCUCUCAUACACGUAAUCUAGAUUGGGAUUCUUAACUUGGGAUUUAUGGAUGGGUUUCUGGAGCCUGUGAAUUUCUAGAAAUUGAAAAAUGUAGUUGGAUUGUUGUGUGUGCUUUUUUCUGGGGAAUGGGUUAACAGAUUUUAUCACAUUCACAAAGAAGCUGGUGACUCGAAAGCACUAGAGGUGAACAUGGAACUUCCAUGUGAGAAACUUCCUUUAGAGGUAAGUGCUAGGAUAAGUUUUGCCUCCUCUAAAGGGACCAGUGUGCUUUUUACUUCUUCUAAUGUUGUUCUAAUGAUACCAUUAGAACAUUUCUUUUUUUUUUCCCAUUUUCAUUUUAUUGGAAUUAUUUCUACCUGAAUCAACUCAGCUUUGUGUAAAUGUUAUAGGAAGAGAAGAUUCAUUGAGCAGUUACGUUUUAUUACAGAAAAAAAAAAAGAAUUGACUUUCAUACCAAUUAUCGUAUUGGCCAUAGGACAUUUUGUAGGGGGCUAUGAUGUAGAAUGACAGAAGGAAAGACGAAACCUGAAGGGCAUCUUUACUAGGUGUGAGCUCGAAUGUCUUUCUGGGACAAAUGUCCGUGAGGUCAAGUGAUGAGGUCCAAACAACCUGCUUCACUGUCUCUGGCAGGAAAAGAUCUUGGGGCAGGAGGAAGCAAGCCCCUUAUAGAGUAAAAAGAAGUUGCCAUCAUUUUGUGGGCUGUUGUGCUGUCACAGGAUAUAGUUAAUAGGAAAAUGCAGACAUCAGUGAAUUAGAAAACCCACUUCAGCAGUCCCCCUCUUCUCAUGGCCCAAGUGAGGAUCAAAUGUGACUCAUCGUGAAGUGAUCCUUGUCUAUCAAGUCCUACAGGCUUCCCUCCAUCACUGAGUGACUCAGGACAUGAGCUCUCAUUGCCAUGCAGAGUGGCUCUUGGCUUGGGUGGCAGGGGCCCUGGGAGCAGUUCCCUAGCUCUGGAAACAUCUGUGCCACUUGACCUCAUGGGCCCCUGUAUUUAUUUGAAUAACUACUGGAGGAUAAUGUUGAUUAAAAAAAAAAAAAGAUGAUGUGGUAUACUGGAAAGAACAUCGGAUUUGGGGUCAGUCAACCGUGGUUCAAAUCCCAAAGUCUUCCCACCUUUAGUAAAAGACAUAUUUAACACUUGGGGGUAGCUGGGCAUGGUGGCACAAGCCUGUAGUCCCAGCUACUCAGGAAGCUGAGGUGGGAGAAUUCCUUGGGCCCAAGAGUUCGAGGCCAGCCUGGGCAACCCAGUGAGACUUCAUCUGUUAAAAAAAGACAAAAACAAAAAACACUGUGGGAGAGGGAGGAGAUGUUUGCUGGGCCCCUGAGUUAGGUCCAUUUCCUCUCUGUUUCCCAUCCCUUCUAGAAACUUGUUUAUUUUCCCUUGUUGCAUCUGUGGCAAGAUAUAGGUCUCGUGGAAAGGGGACAGUGAGAUCAUUGGCCUGUUUUGUCCUAAUCUAGGCCUGAGGCCUGUCUGUCCUGGGUUCAUACUUGGUCGAGCCCAGCUCACCGAGAUAAGAGUGUGGGGACAAAGGCCCAGCUAGAAUAAAGUUUUUCUUUGCCUAGCACUGGUGGUUUUUAGGGAACCUCCUUAGAAGACAGGUAAUGUUUGAUCACUUGUCUUUUUCUCUAUCUUGCUAAUGCAGUUGUGAUGGCUGGUACUCUAGCAUCCAUCUUAGAACAGGAGGAUGAGGUACAUACAUUAGACAGAGUGAUAAGCUGGAUCCAGAGGAUUGAGAAACUGCCAAAUAGCCCUAGAUCAUCAGCUUCUAGCAUUAUUUUAAUUCAGAAAGAAAGAAACUUCUGUCUUAUUUAAGUCACUGUUAGGUUUUUCUGUCACAUGGGAUCCAACCCUAAUUAAUCUGGUGGUCACACUUUUGGGUUCUAAAGUCAAAUUACGUAGGUUGCAGUUUCAACUCUGUCAUUCUAUGGGCUUCAAUUUGGGAAAAUUUCAUAACCCCUAUAAAUCUCCAGUUUUUUUUUUCUGUGAAAUGGGGGUUAUCAUUGUGUUUAUAGGCAUGGUAUAAUGAAUGGUACAUGUUCAGCGCUCACUAAAUAUUUACUGUUAUGUUGUUGUUACUGUUAUUGUUGUCAUCAUCCUGGGGCAUUUUAUAACCUUGGAGAACUUUUUGGGGGUAGCUAUAAGGAGGGUAGGAGUCAUGUGUUUAGGAUCCUGGGGGUCUAUCCCUCAAUCUUUUUCCAUAAGAGAAACAACUCAUACGUUCAGAGAAGGCACUUUCUCUCCCUUCCACAUCUAAAGUGCAGCUAAUGAUAUUUGUGCCUUGUUGGGAAAAUUAAAUGAGAAAAUAUAUGCGAAGCAGCCCAUACAAUGCACAAAGCAUACAUUCCACAAAUGUUAGUUCUUAUCUCUUCAUCUUUUGAUACUUCUUUUCACAUUGUGGAGAUAAAUGUGGGGACCCCCUUGCCUUGCAUUUUACACUGUACUCCUAGGCUGGGUAAAUUGCAAGUUAACUCUGGCAGCUUGGUGGCUGCAGGUGAACGCAGCUGGUGAAGGGCCGGUGGCCUUACCCUGGGCAGAGUUGUGCAACCCAACCUUGAAGACUUGGGCCUGCAGGCUCCGUGGCCUUGAGUGGCAGGGGGUGUCUCAGUGACAAGGGUAGAGGGCAGAGGUUUGGGGGGUGGAGGGAAGAUGGGCAAGGUCUAACAGUGGUGUUGGGGGCCUUAGAGGAGAUGGGGUGGGGAUGAGGGCUGUCCUCUGCCCUCUUCAAGAGAUAACUGCCUUUUUCUUGUGUGGCAGGUCCAACUUUGCAAUUUACCAGGUGAGUGGCCACAGGAAAAGUAGUAAUCUCUGUGAAGACAAUAAUACUCAUCUUAAAGAGCUGUUUUUGAGGCUCAUAUCAGACGAGAUACUUUAUAGAAAAGAUGUAUGGCACAUAGCAUAGGCCCCUUUCUCCAACACCAUCCUCCAUCUAUACCAACAAAUCCUUGCCUCUAAUGAGUUUGCCACACUGGCGUGUGCUCUUGGGGGUCCCUGAAUGCCACCUGCAGGUGUCUGAGGCAAGUGCCUUCAAGGAGCCUUGUGAGACUGGAUGGUUUCAUGUAGGGUGAGCACAAGCUGUUGUAGAAAGUUCUAUCCACAUGGUUAGAGCUCUGUAUAAAAGCAACCGGAUGCAAAGACCGAGGCAUGGUAGGCAUGGGGCCUGGGAGUCUUCUAUCAGCAGGCUGCUCUUCAAGCCUGUCCUCUCCCUGUGACAUCUAGAUGCUUCCCACUGGCCAUCGCCCUUCCAGCACAGCAGGGGUGAUGGAGCAGAGGCCAGCUCUCUACUCCCUCCUCCAUCACCUCUUUACCAAACACAAAAUCCUUUUGGAUUGGUAUCCCUUUCCUUUAAAAACUUUUUAAUUGAAAAAGAAAUUUAACUUAUAGAAAGAUAUAGAAAAAACAGUAGUAUCUCACUGCUAGGUAUAAAUAAAUGUUAACAUUUUGCUUUGAUUGUUUGCCUUAGAUUAUGUUUUCCAAUGAAACCACUAUUAAUAAUGCUGAAAUCUUCAUUGAACUGCUUUCCAAGCCUGACUGGAGGCAACCUCUGUCAUGAUUUUGACGUGUGUCCCUUCAGUCCAUGAUUUUUACAUUCACCCUAUGACUAUGUAUCCAUGUCGAGAUUUUAUAUUUCUUCCCUUGACUCUUCCACUGUGGAAGUUAUACAUGGUAUUUCUAUUGUUUUUGUAGUUUCUCUAGCAUUUUUAAUAGCCAUAUUUUUCGAACAAAUUUUAAAUUAAUUGAUAUUUCUAUUCUCUUCCUAAACGAGAUAUAGAAUUUAGAAUGCUUUGACUUUUGCUUCUAUCUUUCGUGUUACCACAGUCUAAUAUUUAGUUCUACCAUGGUUUUACCCACUGUUUAUCAUUAUUUUCUAGAAUCUGUACCUGUUUAGAUUUAACAAAGUAUUUAUACUUUUCUUGGUACACAAUUGCAUCUUGCAUUCCUGUCUCUAUCUUCUUUUUUCUGAAGUAAUCCUUUAGUUGUUAUUUCAGUGAAGAUCUGUGUUUAAUUAACUCUUAAUCUUUUUCUGAAAUUAUCUUUCCUUUGUCUGCGGUCUCAGCUGUGGGCCAGCUGAAGAUAGAACAACAGAUUGACUUCUUCCUUCGCUAGCACUUUUAAGAUAUUAUUCCAUCAUCUUUUAGCAGCUGUUGAUGCCAAUAAAAAGGCUACUUCAAUCUGAUAUUUCUUUGAAGAUAACCUGUCUUUACUCUCUAGUAUCUUUAAAACUAUUAUUAUUUUUUAUUUAUUUUGUUUUGUCUUUUGUUUUAUUUAUUUAUUUUUUUGAGAUAGAGUUUUGCACUUGUUGCCCAGGCUGGAGUGCGGUAACACGAUCUCGACUCACUGCAACCUCCGCCUCCUGGGUUAAAGCAAUUCUCCUGCCUCAGCCUCCCGGGUUAAAGUGAUUCUCCUGCCUCUGUCUCCUGGGUUAAAGUGAUUCUCCUGCCUCAGCCUCUGGAGUAGCUGGGAUUACAGGCAUCCGCCACUACGCCUGGCUAAUUUUUUGUAUUUUUUAGUAGUGAUUGGGUUUCAUCAUGUUGGCUAGGCUGGUCUCGAACUCCUCCUGACCUCAGGUGAUCCACCUGCCUUGGCCUCCCAAAGUGCAAAGAUUACAGGUGUGAGCCACCAUGCCUAGCCUAAAACUAUUAUCUUUUUCCUUGAUGUUUUGUGGUUUCACAUUCAUGUGUCUAAAUGUGUGUUUGUUUUUACUUAUUCCAUAUGCUUUUUCAACUCAAGGCCCAUCAGCUUUUCUCAAAUCUGGAAAAUUCUUAGCCAUCUUCUCUUCAAAUAUUUCCUCUCACCCUUAUUCUCCUUUGUCUCUCUGUAGCACUUAUUGACAGAUACAGGGCUAUUAAAACAUGUUCUUUGCCAGAAGCGGUGGCUCACGCCUGUAAUCCCAGCACUUUGGGAAGCCGAGGCGGGUGGAUAGCCUGAGGUCAGGAGUUCGAGACCAGCCUGGCCAACAUGGUGAAACCCCCGUCUCUACUAAUAAUACAAAAAUUAACUGGGCGUGGUGGCAGGCACCUGUAAUCCCAGCUACUAGAGGCUGUGGCCGGAGAAUCGCUUGAACCCGGGAGGUGGAGGUUGUAGUGAGCUGAGAUCGUGCCACUGCCCUCUAGCCUGGGGGACAAGAGUGAGACUUCAUCUCAAAAAAAAUAGUUCAUGUUUUUCAAUUUCUUUCUCAUUAAAAAAGUCUUUACUAUCUUUUUGCUGUGUUCUAGAUGAUUUUCUCAGAUCUGUUUUUCAAGUCACCAUUUUUCUCCACUUCUGUAUCAUUAGGCUAUUUAAACAGCCUGUUGAGGAUUUAAAAAAAAUUGGAUAAUCAUGUUUUUUAUUUUUACAACUUGAUUUUAGUUCUUUUGCAAACCAGCUUUUAUUAUAAUGUUCCGUGCUUGCAAUAUAGAUUAUGGUCUUCUAAUUUUAGAACAUUUUAGACAUACUGAUUUUAAGUUCCUUUUCAGAAUUCUCAAUUAUUGGCGAUUCCUUAGGAAUGAAUUCUCCCAUUUGUAACAUUUGCUGACAUUAGCAGUAUCAUGUCCUUAUGUGCUUUGUAACUUCUGUCUCAUCCUCAGUGGGAAUUAUCUUAUGUGGAGUCCUGUAUAUUCUCCAGGACAUGAGGCCUCCCUCUGCUGUAGAUUCUGCAUUAUAAAAGUCUCUUUUCUAGACCAUCUUAAAAAAGAGAUGGGAUCUCAUUAUGAUGCCCAGGCUAGCCUCAAACUCCUGGGCUUAAGUGAUCCUCCUGUCUCAGUCUCCCAAGUAGCUGGGACUACAGGUGCAUAUUACUGUACCGUAGACCAAUUUUUCUUUAGAUUUAGGCUGUGGGCUUCUAUUCCUGGUAAAAAGCAUGAGAAUUUGGGUUUUAUACUAGCAUAUGCAAACUAGGUCCUCUAAUUUAUUUCAUUAGCUCUCUUUCUUUUCCCCCCUACCCACACCUUGGGGUGGUCAGCCAGCUUCUCUGCUAUAACUUUGAGUAUGGAAAGAGUUUUUCUAAUGGCAUCAUUCUUUCCAAAAUUUCUGCGUAGAUCCAGUUCUCUGUGAUGAAUAGGAACUGUGGCUUUGACUUGUGUUUCUAUAUGAUAUUAAAGCCCCUCUAAAGCAGUGCUUCUUACACUUCAAUGUGCAUAUGAAUCACCUGGGGAACUUGUUAAAAUGAAGGUUCUGAUUCAUUAAGUCUGGGGUGGGGCCUGAGAUUCUGCCUUUUUAACAAACUCCCAGGAGAUCCCAAUACUGCCGAUGCAGGGACUGUGCUUGGAGUAGCAGAGUCCUCAAGCAUAUCUCUGGCCAGGUACUCCUGGGCUUCCAUUGGCUCUACCUUCCACUCUGUUCUACAUGUUACCUUUGUUUUUGACAACUGAAAGGUUUCCUCUCUUGAGGGUCCCUUCAACCUGAGACUCUGAAUCCUAGAUUCUUUCCAGUUCUAGUAAAACCCCAGUUACCUGGUAUUUUAGGAUGAAGUAUGGCUGUGUGAGAUAGAGAAAAGCCCCAAAUAACAGAGGCUUAAACAAGGUGUCACAUAAAAGUAUUCAUAGUUAGGAACUCUAGGGCUGUGUGGUUUGUCCACAAUUGCCAAGGACCUAGGCUUCUUGCAUUUUGCUGCUCUGUCAUCCAUGGUGAGCUACCUCAUGGUUUAAUGUGACUACAAGAGCUCCAGCCAUCAUAUUCACCUUCCAACCAGCAGAAAGGACAGAUUAAGAAAGGCAAAUCUUAGAGGACACUUGCUGGAAGUUACAAAUACCAGCCCCACUUCAUUUCAUUGCUAAAACUUAGUCACAUGUUCACUCCUGAUUGCAAAAGAGUCUGGGAAAUGCAAUAUUUAUUCUGGGUAGUCAGAUGCUGAAAACUAGGGCUGCUUUUGCUAAGAAAGAGGGGAAUUGGUAAGCAAUAGUCUCUGCCAUAACCAGAAUGCAGUUUUCUAGAAACUUAAGGCAUCUGCCUUAGCCAUGGAUCCAGAAGAGGAUGGGUUGGUGGGAGCAGGAACAGAUAGCCUCUUCAUCUGCACAGUGGCAGCCAUGGAGCUCUAGCAACCAGCAACCAAGAGACACAGAGGCCCACACACACAAAAAAGAUAAAUACUCAGAGAGGACAGUAUGCCCUCUGUAUUAGUCCGUUUUCACACUGCUGUAAAGAACUUUCCUGAGACUGGGUAAUUUAUAAAGGAAAGAGGUUUAAUUGACUCAUAGUUCCACAUGGCUUGGGAGGCCUCAGGAAUCUUACAAUCAUGGCAGAAGGGGAAGCAGACAAUUUCUUCACAAGGUGGCAGGAGAGAGAAGAGCAGGGGAAACUGCCACUUAUAAAACCAUCAGAUCUCGUGAGAACUCACAAGAACAGCAUGGAGAAAACUGCCCCCAUGAUCCAGUCACCUCCCACCAGGUCCCUCCCUUGACAUGUGGGAAUUACAAUUCGAGGUGAGAUUUGGGUGAGGACACAGGGCCAAACCAUGUCACCUCUGAGUAGUUUAUUCCUUGAACAGAAGGAAAGCAGAAUCGUGACUAUAUAGUGAUAACUACAAAACCCUAGUGUUUUUCUUCAAGGUCUUGAGAAAUUUUCCAGAAAUAAACAGGCAAAUUUCUCAAGAGCAGGCAACAAAAGAGAAAAGAGAAUUGGAGAGCCCCAAAGAGUGAGAGCGGUGGAAAGAGGGCUGGCAGCAGACGUUCUGUGAGAUGAGAGCAAAAGCAGUUUGGGUGAGUAGCAAAGCUGCCGAAGACCCGGAUAUUUCUCCUGGGGUAUGUGCCCAGGACAGGGUAGAGGUGAGUGGAGGAGGAUGGGGGUGGGAGCAAGAGAGUAGACCCACCAGUCACAGUGUCACCUUUCAGGACCUCUAAGACCUCAGUACCAGGCUGAAGGGGAACUGGCCAGGACAAGUCAGGGGUCUCAGGGUUGGGGAGAGAAGGCCAAUUUUGGCAUAGAGAUACUUACAUCAGCUUCAAUGGUUAGGGCCCAACACAAAGAUAGUGGUUUGUUGUGAAUAUCCCUAGUCCCCAAGUAAACGUUACACUUAGUAAUAUUACAUAAUGCAUAUUAGCAACUCAGAGAAGUCCUAUAGUAAAUAACCAAACAAUGACUGGUUUUUCCCUAGAGAUUUAAAAUUAUUUUUGAUUAUGGAAUGCCCCUUUCAUGGGGCAUACCUUUUAUCCCAGUGUUCCUCAGAGCACCCUCUAGAAAACCAUGCCACAGACAGGUAAGCCAGUUGCCCAGAAUAAACGCUACUAUUUUUAGUACUAAAUUCAGAUGGAAUUACCCCUGAGGGUACUGAAAACACUGUGAUAGCACUGUGAUGUGGCCCCACAUAUAACGAUGCUUUUCGUGGGACUGUUUCUUGUAAUGACAUUUUAAAAAAUGCUGAUUGCGUCACACCAAAAACAGUUCAGCAACAGUAAUUCUUCUGGGGCCGAUAUGAUGUACUCCAGAUAUCCGUGUUUCCCUUGCUCUGGUGGGAUCCUUGGACGGUGUUAGAAAAUCUGGAAGAACAGAUGAACUGCUUGUCCUUCAAGUGGUCUUCUCUGAAAUAGUGUUAUUUUUAAGCAGGGUUUUUACGUAAAUAUUUAGUAGUGGGGCAUACAACUGUUCUCUCUAGAUGAACUCGAAGGAUGGUGUUCUUUGUUGCCAUUUGAAUACCACAUCAAUCAGUUGUGCCUAUGACAAUCAAGCUGGGGUGAGGUUGAUAUGCCUUUUGGAGCUGAGCCCUCCAUCACUGUCCACCAGCAAGACAAGGAUUCUCUUCUGAAGUUGCUUUGGUCCACUCCAGUGUGUAAAUGAAUGAGCAAAUCAGGCCCCCAAAGUCUACCUCAUUUAACAUGGCUGAAGUAGUGCCCAUGCCUCAGAAUAUUUAAGAUUGGCAUAAUUAGACCCUUGCCACAGCCAAAUACAUUCUUGGCAAAGCACCCAAGAAGGCCUGGCUUUGGGCAGUGCUACUGUCAGGACCCCGUCCAAGACAAACUCCAUGUUAGCGCCAAGUAACUGAAUGAAGUAACUUGUAUUGGGUCAUUAUUUAUAAAUCAGUUAAAAUGUGGAGCCUAUCAGAGAGAACAUAUUUAGUUUUAGGACAGAUCUAUGGGCUUUCCUUCUGAAAAUAAUUGGCUAACAUGGCAAAUUUAUUUUCAGAUCAGUUCUAAUUUAAGAUAAUAAGACGUCAUCUCUCUAUACAAGAAUGUCUGUCUUUUUGCUUUGCAGGGGAGGUCGGGAUUGGCAUCCAGGAUGUCCAAAACAUCAUUAGGAGACAACCUAGAAAGAAAUGAUUCCAGAACACAUCCCUGUAAUAUGUGUCUGGACAUAUUUUAUAGUUAGAAGCCAAAUGCUACUGACAUGAAUGAUCAUUGCUAUUUUUCAGAACUGGUUCUGGCCAGACAUUAAUGGUCCAAGUUCUAAGUAGCGGCCUGAGUCAGGGUUCACUUCAGGUCAACAACUGUUGCACAUCAUCCAAUAUGCUCUUAGAGUUGAGUGUAAUAGUAGUCUGAGGUGGGAUAGCUGCAUCUGAAGCUUGCAUGCUCCUUGACGGGUAAGAAUUUGACACUCUGCUGCAAAAUGGAUUUGAUUUGGUAACAGUGCAAACCCAGGGUGGGGAAAGAACCCUUUAUUAAUGGCCUCCAGCACUUGCGUUCUGUCUUUCAUCAUGGAAGUAAAAACAAUUUUCUAUGUGUGUGUGUAUGUGAGAAAUAGAUCCUCCCUAAAAGCCAAUUCCUGGUGCUAGUGAAAGAAUUAAAGAAGAGAUAUUUUGGAUAAAUUAGAGUGAAAUAUUACUCACAUGUAUGUACAUAUAGCAAUUUAGUAUAUGAUGUGGCAUUGCCAAUAAGUGGAGGAAAGAAUAGGUUAUUCCAUAAAUGAGAUUGGGACUACUGGAAAUUUAGAAAAAAUGGUUGGCUUCCUAUUUUCCCAUAUAUAAAAAUGCAUUCCAGAUGGAAUAAAGUGCUAAAUUUAAAAAACAACUUCAAAAGAUCUGAAGAAAAUAUAGAUGAAUAUUGCAUUAAUCUUGGAAGUAGCAAAGGAAACCACAAAAGAAAUAUUUGUUAUUUUUGACUACAGAAAAAUAAAAACUUCUGUACAAAAAGAAAAAUACCACAAACAAAAUUACAAGGCAAAUGAGUAUCUGGAAGAGAGCAUUUGUAACAUAUAUAACAGACAAAGGAAUAAUAACUACAAAAUGAGUUUCUAGAAAUGGACAGUUAAGACAACCAACCAGAUUAAAACAGCAGACACAGAAUAGCAAUGGGCAAGUCAUAGUAGAAAUAGAUAACUAGUGAUUGGUGAACUGAAAGUUAACAAUGAGAUGUUUUCCUAAUAACAUAUUGGUAAGAAUUUAGGAAGGUUUAAAAUAUCCCAUGAGUUGGGGACAAUUCUUGGUAAAGAGUAAACUGACCCUGCCUCCAGGAUGGCCACGCGGCAGAAGCUAUAAAAAAUGUCAAUGUGCAAAUCAUCUAAAGCUAGGUAUUAACUUAGAAAUGUUGGUUUUAGUGAAGCACUCGUACAGGUGCCCAGGAGGCAUGGGGAAGGAUAUAUUUUGCAAUGUUAUAUGAGAGGAAAUGCAGAAACACCUGAAAUACUCAUCCAUGGGGAUAGAUUUAAAUAGGCAUGGUUUGUCUCUCUGCACUUGAAAGAAUGGGGGAUACCCUGGCAUAGAGAUAUCUGUGAGAUAUAAGAGGAAGUGCAAAGUGCAAGUUGCAGUAGCAUACGCCUGGCAUGACACCAUGUAAUACAGGUCUACAGGCACAGAACUGCAAAGACAAAGGUCUGUAAGAAACAGGUCACAUUAACUGUAUGUGUGUCCUUUCUUGGUAGGGAAGUAUGGUGGUCUGGGGAAGAUAAUGGUCAAUGGGAACUUUCUUCUACCUAGUUCUAUGUUGUUUAACUUAACACACACGCACACAUAUACAAGAAUGGAUUCGUGUAUUGCUUGUAUGUUGUUUAACUUAAAACACACAAGAAUGUGUUCAUGUAUUACUUUUUUUUGAGAUGGGGUCUGGCUCUAUUGCCCAGGCUGCAGUGCGGUGAUGUGAUUACAGUUUACUGCUCCCUUAGCCUCCUGGGCUCAAGUGAUCCUCCCACCUCAGCCUCCUGAGUAGCUGGAACUAUAGGCGCACACCACCACACCUGGCUAAUUUUUUGGUAUUUUUUGUAGAUGUGGGGUUUUGCCAUGCUGCCGAGGCUGGUCUUCAACUCCUGAGCUUGAGCAAUCCUCCCGCCUUGGCCUCCCAAAGUGCUGGGAUUACAAGUGUGAGCCACUGUGUCCGGCCUAUGUAUUACUUACAUAUUUAAAAAACAAAAUCACACACACAUGCAGAAAAUGGAAUGUGGCAUUUUGCAGUGGCUUGGACUUUAGAAGUGAGUGAUUCUGUCAUUGUGCCAUAUAUUCACUUAUUCAUUCAUUUAAUAAAUAUUUUUGAAUGCCUACUAUGUGCCCAGCACAAAAACUAGAGAAAGAAUAGAGAGAAAGAUCUGUAAAAUUAUUUCACUGCAGGCUCUGCUUAGUAAUUGUAUUAGUCACCUGUGGUUGCCAUAAUAAACUAUGAUAGACUGGAUGGCUAACAACAGAAAUCUAUGUUCUCACUGUGUAGGAGGCUGGAAGACUGAGGUCAGGGUGCUGGCCUGGUCUGGUUCUGGUGAGAGUCCUCUCCUGUACUGCAGGUGACCACAUUCUCACUGUGUGCUCACAUGGGAGGGAGGGAGGGAGGGAUCACUUAUAAGGGUACUAAUCCCAUCACAAAAGCCCCACCCCCGUUUAACCCUAAUUACCUCCCAAAGGACCCAUCUCCAAAUACCAUCUCAUUGGGGUUCAACAUAUAAAUUUUGAGGGAACACAAACAUUCAGUCCAUCAUAAUACAUUUCAUGGGAUGUUAAAAAAGAUAGUGGACAGAGACACCAAGGUACAAUAGAUGUGAAAUUACAAAGUUAGAUCACCCCUUGCAGAAUGUACAAAGGAAAGUGAACUCAACACUGCUGUAUCCACCUUGAGAAAAUAAAAUGUUUGAGGCACUGAAAAGGGAGAAUGGAUUAGAAAUGAGAUUUCUCUGCUGAGAGCUGUUACAGAGCUGUGACUCCCUCCCCACGGGGUCUGUGUGUGGUAAAAGACACGAGGCAGACGGGUCAACUCCCUCCUCCCUUCUCACCACAGGCUUCCAGCCUAAAGCAAAGUGCAGCUGUGGGUAGGGAGAAGGGCAUGUUGUUCAAUCAAGUAGGAAAGUUUAAUUAUUGCACAGAAUGGCCAUUCAGGUCACCACAUUGGGACUGUUGUUUUUCACUUCAAGUGGCUUAGCGUGUCAACCACACAAGACUGAACCAAAAAGUUCCAUCUUUCUCUACUGCUGAAUAAAACCCCCUGCAGGAUCUUCUGGACCUGCAGGAGGUUUUAUUCAGCAGUAGAGAAAGACUACCCAUGUGGAAUCAGGUUUAAAGGGAUAAUGGAAGAUGAAAAUAAAAUUGUGCUUUGAUUACAUCAUAAGUCAUGCGUGGUCAAUAUAUCGGUUACAUAUAAUUGCUCAUCAAGGAAGAGGCAAAAGUGUAGAGUCAGGGGAAAAGGGGGAUGGUGUGUGGUGCCAGGCUACACAGUGGACACCUGUGGCUUUUCCUGUAAAUGUGAUCCUUGAGCAAGCCAGGAGUCUGUCCAGGUUUAGCUGUAUUCGUGAAUUUGGAGGUUCACCAAGACCCCCUGAUGUACUCCUUGCAGAUGCCAAAGGUUUACUAUGGUACACUUUGGAAGGUUUUCCAUUAAAAUAUAUCCCAUUAAAAUGAUGUCUUGGCACCUAAAGGAUUAGCUUCCAUUUAUCCAGAAAAUGAAGCCGUCUGGUUGGCAUUUAUUGCUAUAGUGUUUUGAGUUUCUGCUAAAACAUCGUAGUUCCUGGGGAUGCACGUAUGCCUCUCUGAAGGUGUGGAGAGGGAACAUAGAAGACCUGCUUGCAAAGGGGAAAACGUCUCCUGGCAAUUGCCUUCCCUCUUCCUCUUUCAAAAUUCAGUGCAAACAUCACCUUGUGAAGCUGUCUCCAUUUCUAAAGCCAAGUUGAUUACUUCUUUCUAGAUGAACCAUCUAUAUACUUGCUAAAGUAUUUGUAUUGUGUGCUUUGUAUUUAUUUGCCUAUCUGCCUAUUCCACAAGACCUUCAGCUACCUGAAGGUAAGAAAUCCUGUAUUUUAUCAGUUUUAAGAUACUUAUUUUCCCUCCACAUGUUUACAUUUCUGAAAUUACUAUAGCUUUUGAUGGCCUGUCAUCAUAGUUCAAUUGGCAAUAUAUUUCUCAGGGUUCCAUAAUUUUUGUUUUAGUGGUACAUAAAAUAAUGAUAUGUCUCACAAUUGAUGGUGACUUAAAGUCAGAGAAAUGUGGCUUAUCUAAUUCAUCAUCAUAACCACAAACACUACUACCUAACCUAGAAUGUAGUAGGUGCCCAAUAAAUACAUGAAACUAACAGAUUUUGUGGUGGUGGAUUUCAGCAGUAGGGGUCACUGAUCUGGAUAACUGGCAAUGGAGAGCAAUAUGGUAGGCAGUGGACUUCUGGAACUGCAAGCAACUUCCAGAAUGUUGAAGGGGAUGUACCACUUAGGCUAAACCUGGCUGCUGUAAUGACUAGAUCCAAUACUGCAUUAGUGGCUCAAAUGCAAAAGAAGUUUAUUUCCUUUUCGAUGGAAAUUUGAUGGAAAUUUUGCUGUCGUGUCCUUAUCCUGCAGGACCUCUCAUCAUCCUCCCCAUGCAGGCAGAAGGUAAAGAGAGUAUGGAGAAGGCAGGGCCACUUUUAAAGUCUUGGUCUGGAAAUGACUCAUAGAACUUCUGCUCACAUUCCACUGGUGAGCGACAGUCACAGGCCACAUAUAGUUGCAAGGGAGCGUCGGGGGCUGGUAAUGUAAUUCUUAGCUGGGCUUCUCUUUCCUAGUUAGGAGGUGGGAGCAUAUAUUUUGGUGAGCAGUUAUCUCUUUCAACUGCAGGGAACCCCUGGACUGUUGCCUGCAGAUAAAGUUGUCUGCCUUUUAUUGCAAGUUUAACUUUGACUCCAACUGUGUUAGUCAAUCAUUUCUUGGAAAACCAACCCUGACCAGCUUUAGUAAAACCAGAAACAUCCUGGUUAGGUGAAGCUGGACCUAGGACCUCAAAGAAUAUAAUUAAUCCCUCCCCCACUUCCGCUCCUUUUCUCCCUCCCCCUUUCCCUCCCCUUUGUUUUUACUAUGCUAGUUUUAAUCCACGAACAGGAACGCUCCACAAGGUGGGAAAGAGAAAGAUGCCUUACUGGAUGCUUUCAGCCCAUGACCACAGAAGGAAAGGGAAAGCAGUUUCUUGCAGAUCCAUUAAUCUCCCUGAAAAGGGCUCCUUGUGGCCCUAACCAGGUCAUGAGCACUCUUGGGCCGAAGGCUGUGUCAGGGGUGGGGUAGGAUGGUGCUCUGAAUGGAGAGCUUGACGGCACCACCAGAAUUGCCUGGAACCAAUGGGGAAGCGAUGAAGAACAGUCAAAAAAAGUGAGAGCCGUUCCCUGUUCCCAGCCACCACUCAGCUUCAUCUGCCGCCAUUCUCCAUCUCAUGUCCUGCUCCACAGUCACUGAGCUUGAUGCCUUUCCCCAAAUACCCCAGACCCCAUCAUUAUUCCAAGCUGCACCCUCUUUCAGGACCGGCCUCCUCCAUGCGUCUCCCCUGUUCACCCACCAGGACCAGCUCUCAGUCAUUUCCUUAGGAAGAUUUUCUUGACACCCCACCCCUGCCAGCCUAGCUAUCACCAUCAAACAGGAUUUUUACCCAAAGGGACUGAACUUUGAGGCCACAACUGAGGCCCAAACAGAAGUGGGCUCUGUGGUUCUGCCCCACUGGCUGCACCUACAUCUGGGUGUGCAACUGGGCUGGCCUUGGAGCAGCCUGCAGUGUGUUGUGUUGUUGUGUUGUGUUGUGUUGACUGAGUCCCCGGAGGUGUAACAUACCGUCUUGUCCAAAACAAACACUAGUGCCAGGGAAAUCCUCAUCCGUAUCAAACAGGGACUGCAUGGGGGAGAGGUCUGCAAGGAGUUGGCUGCCCACAAAGCUCCAAUUAGCCCCCAAAUUAUCUCCUGAGUCACGUGUGUGAGGAUUUCUAACCAAAAUUUGCUGGAAAAUGGAUUCUCAAUGCUUCUGUCUAUUUACCUAAUACUUAACCCAAGGAUAACAACACACAUACAAGUUUAAAAUAAAACACAUGUUGGGUUUUUUUUUUUUAAAUAAAAAUUUGAAACAGAUGGUCUCUUUUAAGACAAAUAUUUAUUCCCCUGACAUUUUUUCACUUACAUGUUUAUAUUUUUAAAUCUAGGCUUUAUGCAGAGACCUUAGAGAUGUCACGAUAAUAAAAUCCAUGUUGUUCAUAAUUGUCUAUUUCCUAGAAUGCAAUGCUGGAAGCAACCUCAAGAAGCUAUCUCUGGCAUCCCCCUCCUCCAGGCAGGCCAAUGUGCGACCAGCUGAGACCAACUGGUGUUUAUUUUGUUUAUCUUGGAAGCUUUUGAGGAAGGAAGCUGUAAACUCUUUCUUACUGUGCUUACCGGCUCUCCAUUGAGUUUCCGAUCCCUGGGCUGGGUGAAGGGUUCUUGCAGAGGGGAGAGUUCAGAGCAAAGCUGCUUAGGGUGUUUUCUGCCCUGGUGUCUUCUUUGUUAUGCUCUUGUCUAUCCCGGUUCAACAUUGGCAGUGCAGCCCCUCUGACUUUGCCAUCACAUGCUUAUCUUGGGUUCCACUGUACCUGUUCCGAUUCCUUUGUACAUAGCUCUGAUAGGACCAGCUCCUAUCUUGGCCAGAGCUGUGAAUUUUUUUUUUCUCCUAAGGUAGGUGAGUGUCCAAAGGAAGAAUCAAUAGAUGUUAUGAAAUGUUAGAAAAAAAAUGGACAGUUUUCAGAAGUCAUUGACAAAGAGGAGCCAGUCCUUUGCCUGAAAUAUGUGAUUUGAGAGGCGUUUUUUGGGAGAAAUGAAUGGACUUUUCUGCAUUCUUGUAUCAGCUAGCUUUUGCUGUAUAAUAAACUACUCCCAAAAUGUACUGACUUAACAGAAUAUGGUCUUACUAUUCUGGGGAUAGGCUAGGUAGAUUGUCUGGUACAGACUGUCCUGGCUGGGGAUGGACAGUCUAGAGUGGCCUCACACUCACGUCUGGUGGUUUGCUCUAUGUCACCUGGAGCAACGGAGAACACUUGGCCACGUGUUCUCAUUGUUCAGGCUAGCUUGGGCUUGUUCACAGGGCAGUAGUUGCAAGCUUCCCAAGAGUAUCAAAAAAGAGCAAGCCUCAAUGUGCAAGUGCUUUUCAAGUCUCUGUUUAGGUAAUGUUUGCCAUUGUUCCAUCAGCCAAAGAGAGUCACAAGGCCAGCCCCGAGUCAGGGUAGGAGAAUGUAUCAAAAGUCAUGGAUAGAGGGAGGUCAUCUUUGCAAGCUUACUACAUUUCUUCUUGAGGACAGAGAAAGGAGGCAUCCCUUCUUGAGUCCUAUCAAAUCCAGAUGGCCUGAUAACUUUCUCAGAGAAGGAAAAUCUUGCAUUUCCUCAUCCCAAACUUUAUCCCAGCUGAGUAUCAGAUUCAAUAAGGUUUUUCCAUGCCAGUUGUCCCUGCAACCUCCCUGAGGACAAGGACUUGCGUUAUCUCUGACUCUCAGCAUAAUGCUGGGCAACUAGCAAAUGAUCAAGAAAUAGUUUCAAAUGAAUGAAUGAUCAAUGAAUGAAAGCUUGUCUUCCUAAUACAGAAGUCAUUCUAACUUGAUUUGAGUUUACCUUAACCCUCUUUAUUUGCUUAAUAAUUAAAGACAUAUCAAAUAACUGGACUCAAACCAUCCCAGAAGUAGUUUAAAAACAGAUCAGAUCAAGUCCCUCUGUGGUGUAAAUGUCUUCAAAGACUUUGUUAUGUUUAUAAUAAAACCCAGCUCCUUGCUAUGGCUUAGAAAGUCAACAUGAUCUGGUCUUUGUAUUAUCUGCCUUAUCAUUAUUUCUUCUUAUACCCUCUUAGCUACUAAGGUCAGUCAUGAUAGCCUUCUUUCAGUUCUUAGAAUACAUAAAUACGUAUCAUAGGAAAUGGAGGUUUUUCCUUUUUUCACUUGCAGGAGCACUUUCACUUGGAUUUUUUUUUUUUUUUUCUUUGAGACAGGGUCUCUCUCUGUUACCCAGGCUGGAGUGCAGUGGUGCAAUCACAGCUUACUGCAGCCUUAACCUCCAAGGGCUCAAGUGAUCCUCCCACCUCAGCCUUCCAAGUAGCUGGGACUACAGGCAUGCACCACCACAGCCAGCUAAUUCUUAAAUUUUUAGUAGAGAUGGGGUCUUGCUAUGUUGCCCCGGCUGAUCUCAAACUCCUGAGACAAUGUUUUAUCUAUACUCCCAAGGCUUUCUGCAGAGACCUUAGUGUUGGGAUUAUAGGUGUGAACAACCGUGCCUGGCCCACUUGGAACUUUUCUACUUGAAAUACCACUCACCCUCCCACCCUAGUCUCUAUAAGCCUGGUUCUUUCUUUUCAUUUAGACUUCAGCUUAAAUGUCACUGUUAUCCUUCAAAGAGGCCAACCAACCUGAUCAUCUACACUAAGCCAUUUUCUAUCACUAAACCAGUUCAAUCCUCGGCUUAACUCUUGAUACUAUCUAAUAUUGCCUUGUUUUUUGUCUAUAGUCUUCUGCCUCUUAUUUCCCACUAGAAUGUUAGUUCCGGGACAGUACCUUGUCCUGGUCUUCGAGCAUCUAGAACAUUGCUUAAUACACAGUGUAUGCUCAAGAAAUAUUGGAGGCGAUGGAAGACUUACCUGAUCUUUCAGAUCUUAAUCUUUCUCCUUGAUCUAAUUGGCAAACAAAAAGGAAAACUUUAGGGGUAAUUUAAUCUGGUUCCUUCUCUAUAACAAUUCCCUAAAACAUAAGGCACUUACUGCCUGAUGUGGACAUGCAUGAAGAAACUGCUAGAGAAUCUCUGUUUGCAUUGGUUGCUUGAAAAAAUUCAGGAACAAAAAGUUAAGAUUACAUAGCAAUGAGUUAUUUUCAUGAUUCCUUUUUUGGCAAUAGUUUUACAGUGUGACCUUUCCUUAAAAAUAUUUUAAAAGUUAAAAAAAUCUAACCAAAUACUACUGAAGAGCUUAUAAUGCAAAGCAACAGUCACCUUCCCUUCCAAUCCCACCCCUCCACCUCCUGUUCUGCUACUAAGAGACAUCUGCUUUUAUCUGUUUCUGUUUUUAGUUCUAAAACAUAUCUAAAUAAUGUGUGUAUACCAUUCUUCCUUCUUUUAUCCAGUUCAGGCAUUAUCUGCUGAUUUUGGCUCUGAUGGAUGAGGAGCUAGCUCUCUAGAUCUCUUUUAUGUUGCAGGCUUUCCUCAGUGUCUGGGGUCCUGGGUUGUUGAGAAUGAGGGACUGGGAAAUACAUUUGGGAGCUCUGUGUUUAUGGGUGGUCACUGGAAGGCUUUGGUGAGAGGAAGAUGGGGGCUGGGGCUGAGGGGCUGGCCAUCUUGCUGUGGGCUUCUGAAAUCCAGGAUAUUGGGGCUUUCUUUACUCUGGUGUACCACCAAUAACCCUUGUUGUCCCUGUUCUCCAAGACGCUGAAAUUUCCUUGGAGGAGACUUCUUCCCUUCUUCCCCUCCCCUCUGUCCUUUUCUCUCUUUGCGGCUCCCUUCUCUGGCCUUAGGAUUCAGAGCCUGGUUGCAAACCAUUCUGACAGCUGAGGUCGUGGAUAUGGUUAGAGUGCCCUUACCAUGCUGUAUACAUAUUUUGAAUUAAUCUCCCACUUAUUCUUACUUUCAUCACCCACCUUGUCUAUUGUCUUUGAGUCAGACCCUCUCCAGGGUAGGGCCAGGUGGGGCAGCUACAGCUCCUUCUAGGAAGCUUCUAGGAGAUCAGGAUUUCUAUCCUGCCAGCUACUUUGCUUUGUCAGCGAAUUCUCUUUUAUUGGCGUUAAGAUUUCUAGAAAUGGGUUGAAACUUUUCUUCUGCUGAAGGACUCCUUCCAUUUUCUUCCCUAUUAAGGAUUUAUACCUUUUAAAAAUGCAUUUUGGUAAAGUCUCAAGAGGAAAAGAAAGUGAAUGCAUCUGCUCUUUUGCCAUGGGACAGUCUUGACUUUUCUUUCACUUAAAAAUGUACUGUUAUGCUGUUUAAUUUGGAUCUUUAUCAUUUUUAAAUUAUUUAAUCUGUUUAAUUUUUUUUCAAGACAAGGUCUCACUCUGUUGCCCAGGCUGGAGUGCCGUGGCACAAUCUUGGCUUACAGCAACCUCCACCUCUCGGGCUCAAGCGGUCUUCCCACCUCAGCCUCUUGAGUAGCUGGGAGUGCAGGCGCACGUCACCAUGCCCAGCUAAAUUUUGUAUUUUUUUUUGGUGGAGAUGGGGUUUUGUCAUGUUGCCCAAGCUGCUCUUGAACUCCUGGGCUCAAGAGAUCCAUCUGCCUCAGCCUCCCAAAGUGCUGGGAUUACAGAUGUGAGCCACCAUGCCUGGUCUAUCAUUUUUUAGAAAAGAUAAUUCUACAGAGUUUUGCCCUGGUAAGCUCAUGACAUCCUUUGUUCAGCUGCGAUAAGAUACAUUUUUCUUCAUCUCUUCAUUCUGCAGUCCUGGAGCCCCAGCCUAAGCAGUUAGUCUGAAGGUUUUCCGUCUCCCUUUGCAAAUUCUUGCUUAUUUCCACAUGCUGACCUGCCCACUUGAAGCCAUCAGCAAGUUCUCUGAGAGCCUUUGAUCACAGCAGCAAACUGGGUUUCUUUCAUCAAACCAGAGGCUCCCAAAUGGUGGGGUCUACCUCCCUGUCAAACUAGGGAUCCCCAUGGAUGUAAAUGACUUCCUAAUUACACAAAUGGGACUGCCUCCCCAAAUGGGAUUUCUUCCCUCAUCAGAUUGGAGGCCCCCUAUCUAUACCUCUAUUUCUUUUAGGACCAGGAGGAUUUCUAGACAUAUGUGAUGAGCACAAAUAAUGCUGAGCAGGGGGUUGGCGAUGGGGGUAGUCAGGAGAUACAAGCUCAAGGAAAAUACAGUGAUAUCUGGGCUGGUUGGGCUGCAGUUGGCUGUUCGUCUAAACCUCAAUGAGGUGCUCUCUCUAACCAUAUUUAAGAAUUCCUGACUUAGAUUAGAUUUUAUCUUUCUGGAAUAGCUCUGUUUUCCCUUCAAGGAGGUCCAUAUAGGCGAAUGAACCAGUCAGAGACCCCUCUCAUCAAACAGAAUAAACCUGUCACUCUCUGAGCAACAAGGACUAAGGGUCCAGAAAAAUGGAAGUGCUAGAGGAGGUUGGGCUCAAGAAGGGCCCACAUGUUUGAACCAUUUUCAGUUGCCUCAGAGGAUUACCAAACUCCAAUUUGAACCAAUGGCAGCCUUUACUGGAAGGUGUAAUGGAAAGAAACUCAGCUACUGGGCACAAGACUUUAUGAGUAAUAACAUGGCUACAGGAAAGAAAAAGAUGGAGCCAGGCUAGGUAUCAAGACUAACCAUUUAAAAAUGGGAAAUAACAUACAUAGGCAAUAAUAGCAAACAAGCUAAGAUAGUUAUAUUACAAGUGCAUUACAGAAUAACAUGUUACCACUAACAUUUCUACUCCUAGAACACUUAAAACUAGAAAUCUAUGAAACUUUCUGUAUAGUAUUAUCCCAUGUUUAAUUAAACAUUUACAUAUUCUAGGCCAGGCGUGGUGGCUCAUUCCUGUAAUACCAACACUUUGGGAGGCCGAAGUGGGCGGAUCAUCUGAGGUCAGGAGUUCCAGACUGGCCUGGCCAACAUGGUGAAACCUUGUCUCUACUAAAAAUACAAAAAAAUUAGCUGGGUGUGUUGGCGUGCGCCUGUAAUCUCAGCUACUCAGGAAGUUGAGGCAGGAGAAUCGCUUGAACCCUGGAGGCAGAGGUUGCAGUGAGCUGAGAUUGCACCACUGCACUUCAGCCUGGGUGAUAAGAGUAAGACUGUCUCAAAAAAAAAUUAUAUAUUCUAUAAAUGAAUUUUUUGGAUAAACACUCUCAUAUGGUAAGACAGUCUUCUCUUUCUAUUCUAGAUUUUCUGUUUUCAUCAUUGAGCAACUGAGCAUGUGUUAUUUUUCAAUGAGAAUUUUUUUCCUAGAAAAUAACAUACAUGUAGAGUGUACACCAGAGGUUGUAAACUCAGAUUCUUACAGAAUUCAGAAUGGCAACAAAAAUGAGUAAAGUGGACUGGGUUUAAGAAAAAUCAACAGCCAGAAAUGUAAUCAAACUUUCAUUUUUACUUGACUAGGGCAUAAGUACAUAAUAUAAUAUAAACGUGUGAUAUUGGGGAUUAUAUAUUAAGUUUGAAAUUGAAAAAUGUAACAUUAAAAAAAGAAAUAUGUAAUUAUUAAUUUUUUUCUUUCAUACCUCAUUACUUCUUUGCUUUACAACCAGAAAUGUGACACUUUUUCUUUUACCCCAACAUGUCAAUGUUGAGUCUUGCAUUUCAUGUUGUGAUGUGCUGUAUAGAAUUCAACCUUGAAUCUUUUAACUGAGAGCAAUCGUUUUAUUUAGUUUCAUAAUGGAAAACAGCUGUUCAUGGCUGAGCAUUGAUAGAAUAUUUGUAUGAUGGUUUUUAUAUUUAGGGUAACCACUCCUGAGAUAUUUGUAGAAUUCUGGCAUUCCAAUGUUGCAAAAUUUAGUUUUAGGGAAUGAAUUGUGGUUCAAAAAAUUCCAUUUAUAUUACAAUACUGAGAAAGGUGAGUUCAAAAAAUUGCAUUUGUGGCACAAUAUUGAGAAAGAUCAUUUUCAUAAAACUAGCAACUUUUUUGGAAUCUCAUCCUGUCUUCAGCUCCAGAAUUUUUAGAGAGCAGUUGAAGAGACCUCUUUCAUUUUGGAAAACUGAUUUCAGCAUAGGAAAAUAAGCCAGAUGAUUCUUUGCCAAAUGAGUUUCCCUAAGAUAUAAUUUCACUAAGAAUGAGAAAACUGAAUAGCCAUUUGCAUAUUUGUGAUAAUUCUUAAAGAGAUACCCAAAAGGGUUAAAUGGCUUGUGAUAUUUACUGAAAAGGCAUAUACUUUGAUCCAAUCUUUGCUGGUGAGCUGGGGUAUUUUUGUUGGAUGAUAUGAACAAGUUAAUAACUUUUCAGCUGUUCCUCCCCUCCCACCCAUGAAAGACCCCGACAUUACACACUAACUACCCUUUAUUUAUUAGAACAGACGAGUGUUAUGACUACUGCAUAUCCACUUUAUCAGGCAAAGCACUGAACUCUUUAUGCUUUUAGCCAUGGGAGUAAGUCCCAUUCACUAGGCCCAUGAUAUGUGUUCUAUUUUAACUUUUUAGCACAAGGCAAUUCCUGGUGAAUUAUUUAGUUUCCCUAAUUGUGCAAAAUUGGCCACCUUAGAUUUAAGAUUCAUAACAAGGUCAGUGUUAAUGCUGAUCAUUUCAGGAGCUCUGUUUUGUAGCCAGGCUUACUAAUUUUGACCUGUCUGCUUUAAGUUUUUCAAGGCUUCUCAACACACAAAGCUAAGUAAUUUCCUGAAAUUGUGCCUGUGAUGGACACCAUGACCAAAAGUUCUCCAAUCACAUUGAAGUCUCUUUGGAACCAUAAAUAAAUAUAGCUGACUGGGUGGUAUUAUUUUAACUGGGCUCUCAUAAGCUUCACUAGGAAAUGCCACAAAUGAUUUAACUUUUUCACACAACCUGUCCUGUAAGUUCUCAGCCAUGUCGUCAUCUUGUUGAGCAACCAGCGUUUCUGUUUAGUCUUCCAUUUGCAAAUACUUGUUUUUGUUCAAGGUAUGAAUUUCUCUAUCCUCAGUAGAUUCUCUUUUGUAAACUCACCAUUAAUAAAAGGUUUCAAUGCAUGAGCAAUAUUUUCUCCUUCUCCAUAACUUCAUUUCACAGUUGUGUCAUUUGUUUUAUUUGCUUUGAAAAAUAAAACAUGUUAAAACAUCAGUACUUUCUUUUAGAUCGUUAAGUUUCCCUACCAGCCUCACAGCUUUUUUGUUUGAAUUCUUUUGAUACUGACACAUUUCAUUUGCAUGUCAAACUUGGAAGAAUGAUUUUAACUUCUCCAAAAAUAAAAAGCUAUUUUCCGUUUUUUUUUUUUUUUUUUUUUUUGCAAACAUGCAAACACAUAGCUCUCGUUGAUGCUCUUUUGUGUCUGUCCUUUUGCUUGAGUUAUGGAUAUGUAUGUAUGAAUGUCCAUAUAAAAGUUACUUUCUUCCCAACUCUGUUAUAAGAAAAUCAUAGUCUAGGACGAUGAUGAGUGACUACUGACCCUCGGCCUCAGUGAUAGGAAGAGAAUGGGGAGUAGUGAGGGGUAUGGUGGUAUGGAAAACUACUCAGCUCCAGAGGACUUAUUCCUUGCUGGAAUGUGAUUUCAUUAUAGACCUUCUAAAUUCUUAAAACUUAAAGAAGGUGUAAUAUACAAAUAGAAAAGUGGAUCUAUUUUAAGUAUAUGGCUUGAUAAAUUUUCCAUGAAUAGAUCAUAGAUUGAGGAACAGAACAGCAUCAGGACCCAUAAGGCCCCUCACACUCCUUUCCAAUUGAGACCUUUCAGUUUUUUUAAGAAAAAAGUAUUUGGAUUCAUAUGUGAACUCUCAAUUUCUAACUUUUGUCAAGUAAUUGAAAACAUUAAAAAAAUCCCUUGGGCCAAACAAAACACAUCUCUGGCCAGAGUCAGCUCAGAAGACUACAGCCUGAAACCUCUGGUUUCCAUGCUUUUCUUACUGUCUGGCAGCUCACACCUCUCUUCUCCUCCAUCUAGAGGGGUAGGCAACCAUGUUUCUAUGUCAUGAUACCAGCCAUGGUUGACCGGGGUCUUUCUCUGGGACUCUGGAAAUGGGACACUGGAAUUCUCUUUAUCCUGGUGAUGGUGCCAAAAGUGGCUCCAGGCCUAGAGCAGGCCCUAUUCCACCAUCCAUUGAGGAGCAGAGAAAGCUGAUGCCCACAGCGAGAAGGAAGCAGAAGUGCAGAGUGAGAGAGUGGGAGAAACUGCUUGGUUCCCCAAUGUUUUUCCAGUUUUUGAGUUCUUGGUUCUAGCCCCUCCUGAGGCCAGUAUAGAUAAGGGCUGAGGAGCCAAUUAGGCUGGUAGGCUUCUUCAAGAAUUCCAGAGGAACAGUCAGGUGGGUGGAUCAGAGUAAAUGAUGCUGGUGACAGCCAAGGACUGGCAGCCAAGUGGGCGGGGUCUCCAUGUGAGACACUUCUUCACUCAGAGUCACAUCCUAGGCCAGUGGGCUGGGAUCAGGGGUAGAAGGCCCAGCAGGCAAGUAAAAGAUGUAUAUUCCCUCAGGUGAGCUUGUAACUGAGUUCUAGAUUAAGAAAUGUUGGAGACUGAAUGAUUAUUUCCAAUUCUCCACUCCCUCCCUGCAAUAGAAUUAUAUACCCAUGCCCUUUGCCAUAUGGCUUUACAUGCACCCUACUAGAGGAGGUAGAGCCUAUAUUCCCAUGCUGUCAGCUGUGGGCUUGGCCAGUUACCUUGCUUUGGCUAAUGGAAAUAUGGAUGGACGUGACAACGAGACAGUUCUGAAUUGAGGCCUUAAGAGUCAUGGGAGGCUUCCACUAGCCCCUUUGUGUGCUGCUUCCAUAUGUAAUGAGAAGAGCCUAUCCCAGGUAGCUGCUGGUUCCAGGAGAGAGAUAUGGAACUGAUCUGUACCCAACUCACCACCUGAAUCACAGCCCUUCUACCCAACCCACAGAUUGUGAGUGAGGAAAAUAAAUGUUUGUUUUUGUAAGCCACUAAGAUUAUGGGAUGGUUUAUUACAUAGUAUUAUCACAGCAAUGUCUGACUUAUACAGAGAAGAACUGGGUCCUAGGCAAAAUUAGGGACAGAAGAGCCUGAUUGUAUCACAAUGGGCCCAGGAGAGGGGAGAGGAGAGCUCAGGCUCAGAGGCAACGUGGUGCAGGAAUGUGGGUUCUUAGAGGUCAUCCCUGAGGGCACCAGAUCCAUGUAUGAUUGGAAAAGGGAAAUGAGAGUGGUCUGGGGGAAAUACCUGUCACCUCAUUGAUCAUCUGGCUUGAAGGAAAAUCAGGAGGAACACAGGAGCCAAGUAGUUGUAACUGAGCUGGUGACAUUAUUCCAAGCCGUUGUAUCUGCUCAAACUUUACAUACUCUCCAGCUUGGUUAGCAUUGACUCAGGAGCUGUGAGCAUCGGUGGAUCUAGUUGUGAGGAUCCUGGGAGGGUAGCAGCAGGAAAAAUAAGGUAAAAGAGGGCACCAGCACCACAGCUCUCAAAUGCUCACAAGUGUGAGUGCCUGUGUGUGGUUAUCUGACAGCUCUUUUAUAAAUCUGAUGGUUGCUUUCUACCCACCUGCUUGCUGUUUUUGUUGACAUCUCAACCUGGAGUGGGUUUGAGGCUGGGAGGCUGAAACAUACUCUGACCACAUUCACCCACUUUCUGAGAACUUGCAGGCUCAGAUGAAGCCUGUGAAACCACAGACCUAUAUAGGACAACUAGAUGAACACGGCACAGUGGGGUGGCCAGUGAUAUAUGUUGCCACAGCAGAGGAUCCUGGGCAGUCGUAGCACAGACAGGGUGUUUCUGAUUUUCCUUCUUGAAAUUCCUCUUCCCAGGGGCUUCCAAGCUCAGGAAGCUCUUGUCAUCUCCUAAUCGAGGCAGAUGAAGAUGGGAGUUCUGUAGGGAGGCGUUUCCACUUAAUCAAGGCCAGUCAUACCCAAGCUCUAGGAUUAGACAGAUCUGCAGAUCUGCGCAGUUACUUGGGCAGCCUGUUUUCUGUCUCUGCUACCUUGUUAUCUGGCUCUUCUCUGAAUUCCUGUAGCUUUUCCAGGACUUAAACAAUGAGAUUAACAGCUAUCAUUUUUUGAAUGCCUACCAUAUGCUAGGCUCUCUAGUGGAUCUUUUACAAGUAUUAUUGAUAAUAACAGCAAAGAUAACUAAUAUUUACUAAGCAUUUGCUAGGUGCCAGGCACUAUGCCAAGCCCUAUACUUGUAUUAACUCACCGAGAAUCCUCACAACGAGGCAACAUGGGUGUCAUUAUUUUUAUACACAAAUAAUAAACGGUGGAGCUCACUCCACCAUUUGGAUCUAGAUCGGUCUGACUCCAGAGCUUUUGUUUUUUCACUGGUGAUGCUCUCUUGCUUGAUCUUGCUCUCUAGCCAUGCCAGGACACUGUGCAGUUGGGCACGAUAGGCUGGGGCAGAUGCAGAGGGCUGGGAUAUGGAGUUAGAUCAGGAGGAUGAAUGCAGGAUGGUAGAAGUCCAGUGAGUCGUUCAUGAAGGAGACAGGGAUAAGGUUCAACAAGAAGUAUGGUGAGGCCCUAAAAGGCAAGAGGAGCAGAGGUACAGACAACCCAGAAGCCAUCAGAUGUCCUGGCAGGCAGUCCAGGGGCAGGACAGCAGAUCCUGGAGGAGACAGAGCUGGCCACAGCACAACUCAUAGUUCUGGCUCUGCCCUUUACUAACUUUUGGGCAAAUGACUUACCUGCCCUGAAUUUCAGUUUCUUCAUUUGUAAAAUGGGCAUAAAGAAACCUCCUUCAUAGGGUUGAAAUAGCUGAAUGAGAUAGCAAACAUAAAGCACCAGUGACAGUGCCUAGUCCUGAGGAUGUGCUCCACACAUAGACUGCUACGUUUCUAAGACAGGCUCAGGCACAGAGACAGGGAGAACCCAGGCUAUCAUAACUGAGAGUCAAAUAAAGUGCCCCAGGAGCAGCAUUCUAACUAACCUGCUGACUGGGAUUAGUAUUGGUUUUAGAGACUGGAAUGGGGUUAAGUGACCUCAUUUCCAUAUAGAGGGUGGCUGAACUGAGUGGACAAGCAGGUACUGGUUUUUUCAUAGAUGGGUGUUGAAAUCCCAGCCCCACACAGCUGACAGGCUCUUGUUCAGGACUUUGGACUUCCAGUCUGAUGUCCUUUCGAUGAUACUGUGCUGGUGGUAAAUAAACACUUGACAUAAAAUAUGUUCAGGCAUGUCAAUGGCACAUGCAUUGUAAUGGUUUUGAAACAUGUCUGCAAAUUCCUUGAUGUUCCUCCCACUGAGAGGUGGCAUUGAAUUCCUCUCCCCUUGAACAUGGACCAGCCUCAGUGACUUGCUUCAAAGGAAGAGAAUGUGGCGAAAGUGAUGCUGUGUGUCUGCUACGGCUGUUUAGAGAAGCUUCUGCCUGGCUCUGUCUCCCGGGAUGCUUGCCUUUGAAACCAGUUGUUAUGUUAGGAGAAAGCUCAGGCUACAUAGAGAGUCCACAUGAAAUUUUGGACCAGCAGCCCCACCUAAGGUCCCAGCUAACAGCCAGCAUCAAUUGUCAGAUCAUCCUUGAAGUUGUCCCAGCUGAUACCAAGUGGAGCAGGGAUGAGCUGUUCUCAACAAGCCCUGCCUAAAUUGCUGAUUCAUGAGCAAAAUAAAAGUUGUUGUUUUCAGCCAAUAAGUUGUGGAUGGUUUAUUUUGUAGCAAUAAGUAAAUGGAUCAUGAACUUGCAUAGUAGAGCACAGAGGAGAAGCAGCAGGAUCCAGUUCUAAGAGCUUGUGUUCCAGAGUCACGCAGUUGAUUAUGCAUUUUCAGCUCUGCUAUAUGCUUGCUGGGAAAGUUAUAUACCCUCUCGAGACUGUUUUGUCCUCUGUAAAAUGGUAAGAUGGUAAGAUUGAUUGUAUGGGUGUUGUAUUAGUUUGCUAAGGCUGCCAUAACAAGAUACUAUGGACUGGAUGGCUUAAACAACAGAAAUUAAUUUUCUCAUAGUUCUGGAGGCCGGAAGUCCAGUAUCAAGGUACCGGUAGGUUUGGUUUCUUCCGAGGCCCCUCUCCUUGGCUUGCGGAUGGCUGCCUUCUCGCUAUGUCCUUGCCUCCCAGCAUGUGCCUAACAAUGUUCACAUUUCCUCUUCUGUAAGGUCACCAAUCCUAUUGGAUUAGGGCCCACCCUAAUUAUGAUUCACUUUAACUUAAUUACCUGUUUUAAGGAUGUGUCUCCAAACACAGUCAUUCAGAGGUACUGGGGGUUAGGACUUCAACGUACGAGUCUUGUUGAGUGGUGGGGAGUGGGUAGAUACAAUUCAGCCCAUGACAAUCGUUACCAGGAUUAAAUGAGGUAAAACAAACAUAAAGAACAGGUUACUCGUGGACACAUUGGAAGUGUUUAAUAAAUAAUGGCCAUUAUUAUUACAUAUGUGAUGUCAACCUGAUUAAUUAUACCUGAUACAUGCAAAAAAGGGGAACACCACUAUGUAUGCCCCAGGGGAAGCUGUGUAUUCCUCUCACUUGGAUGAUAAGAGAAGACAAGCUCUCUACUAAGCACACUAUGUCCCUCCACCUCCUAACCUGGGCCCCUGGCUUAGUGAUGGUGGCAAGAGAGGGGUUGAGGAGUCCCCUCUGGAGGAAGGAAGCAGCAUUAUUUCUUGACCCUCAGAGACAGCUGCUUCCUUUGGGGACCCUUGGAAGGGGCUCCUUGUUUAAGCCUGGAAGAUCCCAGGGUGAUAUCAGGUAAGGAAAGACCUGGGACAGUGUACAAACCCGAAGUCACUCUGUCUGCAAUUGCCUGGGUGCUCCAGAACUGACCCUUGGAGUCAUCCCCACUGGAGGCAAUUUGGAGAAGGUAUUUUCGAGAGAAAGUCCCCACGCAGAAAACCUUUCUGCCAAGUCCUUUGUUUUCCUAAUGUUGCCGCAGUGUCUGGAGCUGAAUUUUAAAAAUGGCAUUUUCCUGGAAAGGAUUUUUUGGUCUUUUUUGGAAAUGUCUCAUGUAAAACAAGAUCACCAGUGGGCCAUUGAGUCUGGUCUCCCCGGGAUGAGCUUGGGAAAUGGCAAGUGGGGGAGGGCGAGUCUGGGUGGGAAAAAGAACAAAAAACAGAGUUGGAGGGAAAGCGGGACGUGACAAAGGGGUCAGCAUUCAUGUGUUAGGAAUAGGCUCAGAGCUCAGGAUUCAUUCCAGUGGGUAAGGCAUCGUGCCGGGGAGGGAGGAAGGGGAAGGGGCCCUUGACAGCAGGGCUGUGGGAAUGUCCUCUGAAAGCCUCCAUUCACCACAGAAAUGGACCUAUCCCUGGGCCUGCCACCUCCUUCACUCCCUUGUGUGACAUGGGUAAGAAGGCAAGAAUGAUACAACAGGGGCCGUGUCUCUUCCAUCAGACUGGAUUUCCUUCCUGAAGGGAGGAACUAUAGGUGGCAUUCAUUCUACGGCUCUAAGAGGGUUGCCUUGUAUCUUCCCAUCAGACUGGAGGGUCCCCAAGUACAGGGACCCUGUCCCUCCUUGACCUAAGGAAUCAGUAGAGCUGAGAACCUCCUUCCCUUCCUUCUCUCUGUCUCCGUGAACUCACUGUGUAGGAGGAGCUUGGUUUGUGACCUGCCUGACCCAGUGACCUACUCAAAGUGGCAUCUCCACCCUUGGAAGCACAGGUAAGACAUGCUGACUGAAAGUCAUUGCCAUGAGCAGCUCGUCGCCACCUCUCUCCUGGCCCAGGGCCAGGGCCAUUUCUGUGGCCAAGUGGAAUUUCUGUGGCAGGAAGACUCUUGGAAGCUCUUUGCAGAGUUGGCUUUCAUCCUCCAGGCUUCUCUGUUGCUCUUCUGUCCAUUCCUCAGCCUGCCUGUGCCUCUCAGGCCUGGCCUCAUGUCUCCCGGGUUUGUGGUGACCCUGGGCCUCAGACUGGAAUGAGGACAAAUAGCAGAGGAAUGGGUAGAUAAGAAUCACUGAAUCUCUGAAUUAGAAGCCACUCUAGAGGUGGUUUUCUCCAUUUUCUUGUCUGGAAAGUAAAUUCAUACAGUGGACACUUAAGAACACCUGUUCUGUGCCAGUCUCUGCUUCAGACACCAGGUACAUAGUGGUGGACAAAGCAGUCAUGGUUCCUGCCCUCAUGGGGCUAAGUGUCUGAUAUCUGAAUAUUUGGACAAUAGUCUCAUUAAGUAGCCAUACAGAUUGUACUUAGAAAACCAUGUUUUUGGAGUUCUCCCUCCCUCCCAAGGCAGCCAAUUUCAAUUUGGACAGCUCUGAAAGUUAUAGAAGUCCCUCCAUAGAUGUAGUCAAAGUCCUUCCACUUCAUAACUUCCACUCACUUGUCUCAGCCUACUUUCACAUCUACCCAGGACAAUAAGCCUGUUCCCUUCCGCCUGGAAAUCCCUCACCAUGGUGGCAAAUCUGUUAGUUUUUCUUUUGUUUUAUUUUUGGCUAUGUUAUUAGGUAUAUUCAUGUUUAGGGUUGUUUUAUUUUUCUGGAGAAUUCUUUUUAUCAUUUUGUAAUUGUUUUCUUUAUUUUUUCUGACUUUAAUAUUGUUUCACUGCUUGGCUUCAAAGUUGUGGGUUCCUACCACCCUCCCAUUUCAGGUUGAAUAAUUGGCUAGAAAGGCUCACAGAACUUUGGGAGAUACUUUACUUACUAUCAUUUUUUUUGGAUAAUGAUCACUUGGUAUAUUUCUUCUGAUUUCAUUUCAAUAAUUCUGUGUUAUUAUAUUUUAAGUGUGUUUACUAGAAAAAACAAAAGGCCGGAUUUCUUAUUUGAUCUUAGUGUUUCUUUUAACAAGUAAUUUUAAUUCUUUACAUUUACUACAUUUAUUAUUAGAACACAGUUAUGACUGGUGUAUAUUGAUAUCUUUAUGUUUUUGUUUUAAUCUCUUAGCUUCUUUUGUUUCCUUUUUUCUUUCUGUUAGUAUAUUGACAAUUUUCUGUUUUUUUCUCCUACUGUUUUAACAGUUACAUACAUUUGAAUUCUCUCCUUUGAGAGGUUAUCCUUAAAUUUUUUAACAUUCUUUGAAUGCUACCAAUUUUAAACUGUUUUUACUUACAACACUUCUGACACCAAAUGGGUGGUUUUUUUCCCCAUGCUCACAACUGUUUCCAACUCUCUGGGCACCAGCUGGGUGUCCUACAAUUCAGUUCAAUUCUGACACUUACUGACGGAAGUUAAUGUCAGACUCCACAGGUUUACAGGCUCAGUCUCACAAGCCUCCCUUCACUUCAGAUGCCUAUUACAAAUUUGGUGCCCAAGAUACUACCACUUCUGUCUGACAUGGCUACAAAGUUGUGAGUUCCCACCACCCUCCCAUUUCAGGUUCAGUAAUUGUCUGGAAGGGCUUACAGAACUCUGGAAGAUACUUUGCUGACUCUUAGUUUUCUUUUGUGUAGAGGAGCAGAUGAAUGGCCAGAUGAAGAGGCACAUAGGACAAUGUUCAGCAGGGUCCCAAGCACAAGACUUCUGUCCAUGUGAAGUCGGGGUCUGCCACCUUCCCAACACAUGGAUGUGUUUGCCAACUCUGAAACUCGCUGAACCCCUCCGUGUAGGAGUUUUUAAUGGGAGUUUAAUGAUGUAGGCAGGAUUAAUGAAAUUAUUGGCCAUUGGUGGUUGAACUCAACCUUCAGCCCCUCUCCCCUCCCUGGAGGCUGUGGGUGGAGUGGGGCUGAAAGUUUCAAACCUCUAAUCAUGCCUUGGUCUUUCAGGUGACCAAGACUCCUGAAUCUAUCCACAUGCCCUCAACUACCAGUGCUCUUAUUAACAUACAAAAGAUACUCACCACUCCAUAGAUGCUAAGGAUUUUAGGGGAUGUGUGUCAGGAGGAACAAAGAUCAAAUACUUAUUUUUACUAUAUCACACUGUGCAAUUUAGGUUUACACUUGGCUGUACAUCAUAGAAAACAGUGGAUUAAACAUUUAGGGGUUUAUUUCGCAACGAGAAGACUGGAGUAAAAAGUUCAGAGCUAGUACACAUCUUUAAGGAUAUCAUUAAGCACCCAGGGUUUUAAAAUUUAAUUAUCCUUUUCUCUUACUCUUAGUGUGUGACUUCGUCCUGUCUUCAUGGUCUCAGGGUGUCUGUUGCUCCUCCAAGCAUUUUGUCCUUAUUUUAGGUAGGAAGAAGAGAAAAGGGUAAUUGGUAAAGGGCAAAGCAUUCUUUCUGGAAGUUGACCAGUAGGCUUCUGUUUUUAUUUCAUUGGCCAGAACUGCAAUACAUUGCUACCUCAGCCUCAAGGGAAUCUGGGAAGGUGUGUAUUUUUAGUUGAGCACUGUGCUGCCCUGUGAAAAAUCAAGAUUCUAUUAAAGAGAGACUAUAUACUGUGUUAGCUGCUAUAAGUAUAUAUAAUUCAUGCAUAUUACUGUAACAAUUUUACAGUUAAUUAGACUCUGUAUAUCCUUAGGAUGCUCUUAUUCUAAUUACUCCAUCCUAAGUUUUAUGUUAUUAGUGUUUGGCACUUUAGGUCCACUUUGUCUUGUUUGUUUGUUUUGAUUUAUGAGAUAGGGUCUUGUUCUGUUGCCCAGGCUGGUUUGCAGUGGCAUGAUCAUAGUUCAUUGCAGCCUCGAAUUCCUGGGCUCAAGUGAUCCUCCUGCCUCAGCCUCCUGAGUAGCUGGGACUACAGGCACACACCACCACACCUGGCUAAUUUUGAUAUUUUAUUUUUAUUUUUUUAUUUUUGUAGUGACAGGGUCUUUUUAUAUUGCCAGGGCUGUUCUCCAACUUUUGGCCUCAAGCGAUCCUCCUCCUUUGGCCUCCCCAAGUGUUGGGAUUACAGGCAUGAGCCACUCCCCGCUUUGUCUUUAAAUGCCACAAAAAUCAGACGAUAGUAUUGUUAUUGCUAUUUUGCAGUCAAUUCUUGUUUAGAUUUACCCACAUGUUUAUCCAUUUCUUCACUUACCACUGAUUCUUCCACCCUACUCCUUCCUCUCAGCUCAAUUUUCUUCUAGAAGUGAUAAAUUCUCUUGUCUUUUUCUGAAGAUGUGAUUUUUUAAAAAUCCCCACUCUUGAAUGAUAGUUAACCUUGGCUGGGCAUUCUACAAUGAUAGUUGUUGUUUUCUUCAGCACAGAAAAAUUAUUCCAUUGGUCUCUGUUUGCUGAUGCUAAGUCUGCUAUUUUUUUCUUAUGAAUGAUAUCUCUCUUUAAUUCCUGAUGCUUUUUUUUUUUUUUUCUUUUUUUGAGACUGAGUCUUGCUCUGUCACCCAGGCUGGAGUGGAGUGCAGUGGCGUGGUCUUGGCUCAUUGCAAGCUUCACCUCCUGGGUUCACGCCAUUCUCUUGCCUCAGCCUCCUGGGUAGCUAGGACUACAGGCGCCGCCACCAUGGCUGGCUAAAUUUUUGUAUUUUUAGUAGAGAUGGGGUUUCACCGUGUUAGCCAGGAUGGUGUUAAUCUCCUGACCUCGUGAUCCGCCCACCUCAGCCUCCCUAAGUGCUGCGAUUACAGGCGUGAGCUACCACACCCGGCCUCCUGAUGCUUUUAUAAUUUUUCUGUCAGUCAUGUUCUGAAGUUUCACUAUAAUGAGCCUCGGUGUAAUUUUCUACUCAUUUAUCUUGCUCAGAAUUCCACGAGCUUCUUCAGUUGAAGCUCUACACUUUUCAUUAAUGUAAGGAUUCUCAGCCAUUACCUCUGAAUAUUUCUUCCCCUUCCUUCUCUCCAAUUUCUCCCUCUAGCAUUCAUAUUAGAUGUAGGUUGGACAUUCACAUUCUAUCCUUUACGUCCUGUAUUUUCUCUGUAUUUUUUUUCUCUUUUAAUUGUUUAAUGUUACAUUCUGGAAAAUUUUCCAAGAUCCGUUUUUGGUUUACUGAGCCUCUCCUUCAGUUUUGUCUAAUCUGCUAUUUAAUCGAUGCUUUGACUGUAUCUUUUAUUUACAGAAGCUCUAGAAGUUACUUUUUCAAGUUUAUCUUUUUUUAGAAACAAUAUUCUAUUUGUACUUUAUGGUUUCUGUUCUUUAUUUCAGAUUAUUUUAUUUUAAAUUCUUCAGGUGAAAAUCCUCUUAUUCAUCUUCUAGUCUUUUUUAUGGUGGUUCCUUUCCUCAGGUGGGUUGUAAUUUUUGGUUGUGAAUUCAUCUUUAGCUGCUUUUCCCCUUGGGAUAGAGAGGAUCUUCUGUAGAGAAGUUUUCUAUUCUUCUAGAAUUUCUCUAUGUGCCCCAGGGAGACUGUUGAGGACAAAUUCUUAUAUUAAGAAUAUAAGAAGAAUUUUUUGAUUUGGGAUUCAAACACUAGGUUGUGAGGGCUAAUUUUAUGCAUCAACUUGGCUAGGCCAUGGUACCCAGUUUUUGGUCAAACACCUAGCUAGGUGUUGCUGUGAAGACAAUUUUUUAAAGGUGUGAUUAACAUUCAAAUCAGUUAGCAUUGAGUAGAGCAGAUUACCACCCAUAAUGUGGAUGAGCCUCAUCCAGUCACUUGAAGGCCUGAAAAGGAAAAGAAGGAAUUCUGU